UGGAAAGGAAGCUCUGGGUAAA
rnacentral:misc_RNA from 1 species